CCCGUGCAGGUGUACACUGUGUCCUCUGUGACCUUCCCGUACGCCAUAUUGGUGCUCUAAAAAAACAAAACAAAUAAACAAUCACACAGGUGAAAUACAGUUAGUUAAGGAUGUAACGAUACACUCAACUCACGAUUCGACACAUGAUUAUAACUAUAGUCCCAUCUGAAAUCAAACCAGUGAAAUCUAAAGUAGAUUACACCCUAAGAUGUU